GGUUAAGCGACUAAGCGUACACGGUGGAUGCCCUGGCAGUCAGAGGCGAUGAAGGACGUGCUAAUCUGCGAAAAGCGUCGGUAAGGUGAUAUGAACCGUUACAGCCGGCGAUGUCCGAAUGGGGAAACCCAGUGCAAUUCGUUGCACUAUCGUUAACUGAAUACAUAGGUUAACGAGGCGAACCGGGGGAACUGAAACAUCUAAGUACCCCGAGGAAAAGAAAUCAACCGAG
rnacentral:rRNA from 1 species